AUUGAACGCUGGCGGCAGGCCUAACACAUGCAAGUCGAACGAGUGGCGGACGGGUGAGUAAUGUCUGGGAAACUGCCUGAUGGAGGGGGAUAACUACUGGAAACGGUAGCUAAUACCGCAUACCAUCGGAUGUGCCCAGAUGGGAUUAGCUUGUUGGUGGGGUAACGGCUCACCAAGGCGACGAUCCCUAGCUGGUCUGAGAGGAUGACCAGCCACACUGGAACUGAGACACGGUCCAGACGCCUACGGGAGGCAGCAGUGGGGAAGAUGGCACAAUGGGCGCAAGCCUGAUGCAGCCAUGCCGCGUGUAUGAAGAAGGCCUGCGGGUUGUAAAGUACUGUCAGCGAGGAGGCGUUACUCGCAGAAGAAGCACCGGCGAACUCCGUGCCAGCAGCCGCGGUAAUUC
rnacentral:rRNA from 1 species